GAUCAUGGCUCAGGACGAACGCUGGCGGCGUGCUUAACACAUGCAAGUCGAACGGACCGACAUGGAAGCUUGCUUCUAUGAAGGUUAGUGGCGAACGUGUGAGUAACGCGUAAUCAACCUGCCCAUCAGAGGGGGACAACAGUUGGAAACGACUGCUAAUACCGCAUACGAUCCAAUCCCGGCAUCGGGACUGGAUGAAAGGUGGCCUCUACUUGUAAGCUAUCACUGAUGGAGGGG
rnacentral:rRNA from 1 species